rnacentral:rRNA from 1 species
GACGUAGGAGGCGAGCGUUGUCCGGAGUGACUGGGCGUACAGCGCGCGCAGGCGGUUCCAUGCGCCUCGGGUGAAAGGCGUCAGCUCAACUGGCGAGCGGCCCGGGGGACGGUGGGACUGGAGGGCGGGAGAGGUCGGUGGAAUUCCCGGUGUAGUGGUGAAAUGCGUAGAGAUCGGGAGGAACACCCGCGGCGAAGGCGGCCGACUGGGCCGACCCUGACGCUGAGGCGCGAAGGCGCGGGGAGCGAACGGG